CAGUCGCCGCGGGAAUACGUAGGUGGCAAGCGUUGUCCGGAAUUAUUGGGCGUAAAGGGCUCGCAGGCGGUUUCUUAAGUCUGAUGUGAAAGCCCCCGGCUCAACCGGGGAGGGUCAUUGGAAACUGGGAAACUUGAGUGCAGAAGAGGAGAGUGGAAUUCCACGUGUAGCGGUGAAAUGCGUAGAGAUGUGGAGGAACACCAGUGGCGAAGGCGACUCUCUGGUCUGUAACUGACGCUGAGAAGCGAAAGCGUGGGGAGCGAACAGGAUUAGAGACCCCCGUAGUCCCUGUCUCUUAUAC
rnacentral:rRNA from 1 species